rnacentral:rRNA from 1 species
GUGGGGAAUUUUGGACAAUGGGCGCAAGCCUGAUCCAGCAAUGCCGCGUGCAGGAAGAAGGCCUUCGGGUUGUAAACUGCUUUUGUACGGAACGAAACGGUCCUGGCUAAUACCCGGGGCUAAUGACGGUACCGUAAGAAUAAGCACCGGCUAACUACGUGCCAGCAGCCGCGGUAAUACGUAGGGUGCGAGCGUUAAUCGGAAUUACUGGGCGUAAAGCGUGCGCAGGCGGUUUUGUAAGACAGGCGUGAAAUCCCCGGGCUCAACCUGGGAAGGGGGAUUGUGACUGCAAAGCUGGAGUUCGGCAGAGGGGGAUGGAAUUCCGCGUGUAGCAGUGAAAUGCGUAGAUAUGCGGAGGAACACCGAUGGCGAAGGCAAUCCCCUGGGCCUGCACUGACGCUCAUGCACGAAAGCGUGGGGAGCAAACAGGAUUAGAAACCCGUGUAGUCC